AAUACAUGCAAGUCGAGCGGACUUGCUGGAGCUUGCUCCAGCAGGUUAGCGGCGGACGGGUGAGUAACACGUGGGCAACCUGCCUGUAAGACUGGGAUAACUCCGGGAAACCGGAGCUAAUACCGGAUAGUAUCUUGAACCGCAUGGUUCAAGCUGGAAAGACGGUUUCGGCUGUCACUUACAGAUGGGCCCGCGGCGCAUUAGCUAGUUGGUGAGGUAAUGGCUCACCAAGGCAACGAUGCGUAGCCGACCUGAGAGGGUGAUCGGCCACACUGGGACUGAGACACGGCCCAGACUCCUACGGGAGGCAGCAGUAGGGAAUCUUCCGCAAUGGACGAAAGUCUGACGGAGCAACGCCGCGUGAGUGAUGAAGGUUUUCGGAUCGUAAAACUCUGUUGUUAGGGAAGAACAAGUGCGAGAGUAACUGCUCGCACCUUGACGGUACCUAACCAGAAAGC
rnacentral:rRNA from 2 species